rnacentral:rRNA from 1 species
GAUGAACGCUGGCGGCGUGCCUAAUACAUGCAAGUCGAGCGAACAGACGAGGCGCUUGCUCCUCUCACGUUAGCGGCGGACGGGUGAGUCACACGUGUAUCACCUACCUAUCAGACUGGUAUCACUUCGGGAAACCGGAUCUAAUACCGUAUGAUAUACUGCACCGCAUGGUUCAAUGGUGAAAGACGGCUUUUCUGUCACUUAUCGAUGGAUACGCGCCGCAGUGGCUAGUUGGUGAGGUAACAGCUUUCCAAGGGAACGAUGCGUAGCCGACCUGAUAGGGUGAUCGGCCACACUGGAAGUGGGACACGCACCAUGCUCCUACGGGAGGCAGCAGUAGGGUAUGUGCGGCAACGGGCGAGAGCCUUGCGGAGUAACGGCGAGCGAGUUAUGAAGGUCUUCGGAGCGUAAAACCCGGUUAUGAGGGAAGAACAAAUGUGGAAGUAGAUGAGCACGGCGUGACGGUACUUAGUCAGAAAGCCCCGGCUAACUACGUG